AUUGAACGCUGGCGGCAGGCCUAACACAUGCAAGUCGAACGAGUGGCGGACGGGUGAGUAAUGUCUGGGAAACUGCCCGAUGGAGGGGGAUAACUACUGGAAACGGUAGCUAAUACCGCAUACCAUCGGAUGUGCCCAGAUGGGAUUAGCUAGUAGGUGGGGUAACGGCUCACCUAGGCGACGAUCCCUAGCUGGUCUGAGAGGAUGACACGCGACACUGGAACUAGAACAGGGUCCAAGCUCCUACGGGAGGCAGCAGUGGGGAAUAUUGCGGAAGGGGGGCAACCCUGACGCAGCCAUGCCGCUUGAAUGAAGAAGGCCUUCGGGUUGUAAAGUUCUUUCGGUAGCGAGGCGUUAACUACAGAAGAAGCACCGGCUAACUCCGUGCCAGCAGCCGCGGUAAUAC
rnacentral:rRNA from 1 species